UCUUAGCUUUAACAGUGGAAGAAACCCCAGACAGCUCUUGUUCAUCCAUCCCUGCCUCCUUCAAAACCACUCCCGAAGUGGCUGCGGUGGCCGUGGCGGGCGCGGGGUCUCGGCAGGCAGGCGGGCGGGUGGGCAGAUGCGGCCAAAGGUAGCGGGGAACUUUGCAGGUGGCGGUGGAGGGGAAGGCCCCCUUCCCUGCCAGCCUCUCCUAUAUUUCUCAAAGGUACUGAGCAUGCACAGUUUCUGUUCGCUUCAAAAAUCAGGCCAUGAAAGAAUCAUAAAUAUAUAAUAUUAUACUCCUAUGAUAUUAUGAGUGGAGAGCAGGAGAGUUAAAUGCAUACAUUGAGGAGAGGCAAAUUACAUAGAAAGGGCCUUACUGCGCGAUUGUCGAGCGAUUCUAAAAUGAAAUAUUUUAAAAUCCUUCCCAGAAUAAAUUUAAUUCCUGCAUGCUUGUUCCAGUAGGCAAGGAAGUCUGCUGGAUAUCUAGCAACAAUUCGCAGACUUAGGGCAGCCUUUAGUGCUCAUAGUGACUUUAGCACUGAUAAAACAGUUUUUUUUUUAAAUGCUGAGCUGAAAAAUAAAAAAUCCAUUCUAUAAAAGAGCAUUGACAUUUUGGCAUUUGUUUUAUGACAGAAUGAAAUAAAGGGCAUUGCAACAUUUUCUGGAGGAAAUACAGGAAUGUAUCUCACACCAGCCCAGCAGACCAAAGCAGAGGCCAAACUUGAACCCAGGCCUCCAUGUGUGAGCUCAGUGAUCUUCUUUCAACUGUGCUGAGAUGUACCCUCCAACUCGUCUUAAAACGUGGAACUGCUGUACAUUGCCUGUGGGAAAAAAGCCUGAAGCCACAUAGUGAUGUAUCUCUUCAACAGUGUGAAAGAGAAAUUCCCUAUUCAGAGUCUUGCACAGUCAACAUUACCUGCUGGAAAUUUCACAUAAUCUUUUCCAUUCGUCAUCAGCCAGGUUGCUGAUUACCAGAGUAACUGCCAAGCUUUCAACUCCUUGUCAUCAAUGGGCUGUGAAUGACAGACAGCAUUAAUGUUGGCAAGCUCCCACUCUCCUUUUCGCCUUUCCCAAAUGUAAUUAAACCGCGCUAAUACAGCAAAAGAAAAGCUGCAGCUUUAUUUUACUCACCCUAAUAACAUAACAAUUAAAUCACAGAAGCACACAAUGCAGUCAAAUAAACCCAUCAUGACAAGGAAAUUCA
rnacentral:lncRNA from 1 species